CAGAGUCUGGUUCUUCCAUUCCUUCUUGGAAGAUGGCCAUGGGGCAUCAGCACCUGACCAUGAUGUCUGGUGGCUAGAAUUCAACUUGAAAUCAGUUGAGACCCAAGUAAUGCCCAGGCUUUCCCGGUGGGUUUUCCUUGCUCCAUUCUUUGUCUCCAUACAGUGAAGCCCCCAGAAAGCAUCAGUUGUUCAUCCCUCAUCAGGGCCUUCAAAGUUCCAAGGUCUUUCUUGAGCCUCAGAGAGGCAACAAGUCCUUGAAUGCACCCUUGUCUGACCCUCCCAACUCAGCCAAGAAUCCCCUAAAGAUGAAAUAGAACAUUGGGUUUCAAUUGUCGAAGUCUGACCAGAAGAUGUUCCUUACUCUAAAUACAGGCCAGUGUCACACCAACUUACAAGGGUCAGUGUGUUAUGAACAAGGAGGGGAAGCUGUGGGGCUGCCAAGCUGGGCACAAGUCAAGCACUAACCGGCACCACUGCCUCCUGCUUCCUGGUGCCACUCCAGCCGGGGCUGCCCCCACUGUGUCUGGCAGCUUCCAAUAUUGCUUUCCUGCUGCCAUAAGAUGGCAGGUCUGGCAACAGAACUGGAGCCGGACUUAAGGAGAAAGAGGAAGGAACUUCAGCUCUGGCACCUGCAGACCCCCGAAAGUGACCUACGGAAGCUGGCAGCAGGGACUGCAAUUGAGCAUUCUCUCACCUUUCCCUUCUCAGAGCUCCCCAAGCCUAUGCCCAGGUGGGAAGAGGAUUACCUGAGAGCCAGAAGCCCCGGGUCCCAGCACUUCACUAACCUACCUUGCAUCCCUUCUGUAAAUUAUACACCCCAGCUCUCAGUUUCCCCAUCUCCGGGAUAACAGACUGGACUUGUCCAAGAAUAGCAAUCAUUCCCAAUCCAGUGCCGACGCUGGUUGCUAGAACACGUGGCUGAAGGGAUUGUAUGUUGCUCGGGAUUCUGGGGCCACAUCCAGUGGUAGGGGGUGCUGUGGUUCGCUGGCAAUAUCUGCCUUGGACUCAGAAUGGAGCAUGGUAGACCAGGUGCCACGUCACUGACAUGCAGGAGCUAAAGGACCUUUGCACUCCUGCCCAAUGGAACAUUCCAGCACUUGGAUUCUGUGGGAUGAGAUCUGACAGCCAUAAGGCAGAAGUUACCAACUGGGAAGCUCAUGGAUUCUUCAACAGAAACUCGAGUCAGGCUGAUGAAUUACCUUUACUAAAGGAAUGAAUAACAAUAAAAAAAAUUCUAGGUCCAAGACGUGCCAAGAAAGGUUAGAUAUAUUGGACAAUAUUUUAAAAGGAGAGAUGUUUUGGGUGACCUGCUAUUUUGCUGUCCAGCUUGAGAUGAUGCCAAUGGCCACAGAGUAAUAAAAGGGCCACUGAAUAUGGCCUCGUUCCCAUGGCUCACCAGCAGUAAGCAUCUCUACCACCUCCAUGUCUGGAGCAGGAAUUCCAGCAGGAAGGACGCAGCCUCCAGAACCAUUUGACCAGAAGAUCCAAGUGCGACUGGACUGCUGACAAAAUGUUUCCAGCCUGGAUCCUAUCAGGGGAAUUACAGCGGGUGCUCAUCAAGUGGGAGUUCUCAUGACUGAGGUAUGGGUCUUACUUCUCUCACUCAGAUGUAAACCCACUGAGGACAAAACUCAUGGCUGAUUCAUCUCUAUCAAGCCUACUGCCUGGCAUGUGGAAUGUAUGAAUGAGUGAAUGAACGAGAAGAUGAACAAGGCAAAGCGCUCAUAAGCAUGGCCAGUUUGGCCAGGGAGUAGGCUGUAAGAAGACGUCAGAGCCUUCUGCUUGAAUCUGCUGCCUUGCCGCCCACCCCAGGCUAAGGCACGAAGACCCUCAAAGCUGCUGCUGCAGGUCCUUUGGAGGAGCAGGCAGCUGGGCUCCCUGGCUCUCCCAUCUGGAGCAGGAGGCCCAGGACAGAUCACUCAUAUUGCCUGAGCAGAAAACCACCUAGCAGAGCACUGAAAUGGUCCCAAAAGAGGGAAGAGCAAGAGGCAACCAGGUGGAUCUUUUUGGAGUUUUCAAGAGGUUUCCAGUCCUGCUUUCUAUUGCUGAUGACAAGUUAACACACACUGAAUGACUUACAACAACUCACACUGACUCACUAUCUCACUGUUUCUGUGGGUCAGGAAUCCAGGCUCGGUACAGCUGAGGCCUCUGUCAGUCAGGGAUGUCAGCCUGGUCUGUGGUCUCAUCUGAGGCUUGACUAGAGAAGGAUCUGCUUCCAUGCUCACACGCUU
rnacentral:lncRNA from 1 species